ensembl:lncRNA
UAUGGCCAAAUGUUUUGUUUAUUACAGACAGUAAGAGGAAAUUAACAUAACUCAGAUUCAUGCACUUUUAUUUGAUCAUUAAAUUGAUCAAAAGUGAGAGUAAAACAUUUAUAAUGUUUCAAAAGAUUUCUAUUUCAAAUAAAAGCUGUUCUUUUGAACUUUCUAUUCAUCUCUGAAUCCUGAAAAAUAAAAUGCAUCAGUUUCCUCAAAAAUAUUGAGCAGCACAACUGUGUUCAACAUUGAUAAUAAUCAGAAAUGUUUCUUGAGCAGCAGAUCAGCAUAUUAUUAUGAUUUCUGAAGAUCAUGUGACACUGAAGACUGGAGUAAUGAUGCUGAAAAUACAGCUGCGCAUCACAGAAAUAAAUUACACUUUAACAGAUACUCACAUAGAAAACAGCUGUUUUACAUCACAAUAAUAUUUCAUCCAUUUUUACUGUAUUUUGAUCAAAUAAGUGCAGCCUUGAUGAGCAGAAGAGACUUCUUUCAAAAAAAAAAAAAAAAAAAACUCUUACUAACCCCAACAUUUUCGAUGGCUAUGUACAGUUUGGAUUUAUUCCUUGGUUUUAUUAAUGUUUAAUUCUGUUAAAAAUAAAACAGCUGUGGCACAGAAAACCUGGGAAUAUCAGGCAUUUCAGUUUGAAAAAUGAUGGCAAUAUUUAGUAAGACUUUUUCUAUUAUUACUUGUAUGUAAAAACUGAAAGAGCCAGAAGAGGCUCUUGUGGAUUUGCGUGUUUGAAUUACAAAGCAAGAAAGUGGGAGAGAGCUGACGAAGGCAAGGGAAUGGUUCUGUCCAUCUGUGAAGCGCUCGUUUGACGACAGACUGUGAGUUUGUCCCGCUCCUGAGACAGAUGGUUGCUGGGGGACUCUGAUAACAGGACAGCAGGUCAACGCCGAGGCUGCGCUCCAACUCAACAUGUGUGUUUAUCUGUCAUGUCCAAAUGUCAUAUUCAAGUGCUGGAGGUUUAUUAGCCACAGAAUCUGGUGCGAAUCAUCGGCGUCAUCAGGAAAAUAUGAGCAGCAUCACGCUGACAAAUCUGCUGCUUUAUUCCCGCUUGUGAAAGUGCUUCUGAACAACUGAACAUCACUGGAAAGACUUCUCUGCUGCAUUCAGAGUCCUUAUUCAUCUGUUAAUAUUACUGCUGUUCAUACUCAUGUGUGAUCUCUGAUGGAUGUAGUGUUUCAGGUAACAAACUCAAGAAAGUGAAAGCCUCACAGUUUGUGUUGGUUUGUGAAGAUGAUUUAAUGGUUUAAUUAGGGCUUGUUGUUGCUGUUUUGGGGGUCAUCUGGGAUGAUACGUCGUCUGGGUCGGUUCAUCUCUAUGCCCUUAUGCAAAGAAAAUAUAUUUCCUAAUAAAGGAAUGAUCAUUAUAUUAAAGGACAUAAUGGUAUAUUAGAAAUUAUUGUACAUUUAUUACAAUAUAUUGAAUAAUACAAAAGAAAUUGCUGCUUUCAUAAAUUGAAGAAUAUGUGACAAUGUAUUCAUUUAGACAUCACAAAUGCCAGUAAAGAAGUUUUACUUUUGAUUGCUUGAUCAUGUUGAGCAUGAAUUCAGCUUGUCCUGUCUGUCUCCAGAUCCAGCGUUCACUAAUGGAGUGGAAGAAAAGCUUGAGCUCUGAAACAUGAAAAACAGACUCAGAAAUAAACAAGGUAUAUUUAUAUUAUAUUACUCAAAUGUGUAAGAUAAUGUUAUGAAAUGGACAUAUAACGUUAUAAAGUGACCAAAGGCUAAAACACAUCAUGUGUCUCCCUAAAUAUAGUGAUUCUCGGUGAAUCUUCUGAACGAUUCAGAUCAUGUCCAGAAAUAUGACCCUUCACCUAGUGAUAAUUAAAGCUUGUCGGUGGCCGCAGGAAGUGAUGCGAUGUCAUUCCCUGAUGUCAUCCGUCUCCCUGGCAACAAUGACAACUGCCAAUGUGACCCAUCAUGAGCGAGAAGAUGAAGAUGAGGUGUGAUAUCAGUCCUGAUGAGUCCUCGGAUCAUGUGUGCUGCUUAGAUCACCUAAAACAGCUGUAAAAUCACACUGAAGGAGGAACCGGAGCCAUCAUCAGACUCGAGGAAAACACCAUGAACAGCGGCGGCCACGAGAAAAAGAUUAACAAAGCUUUUAAGGUUUUUAAAUUGUCCAGUAACAAAUAUAUAACAAUUGACAGAGAGAACUUGAGCGGAGGCUUAAAAGUUGCUUGAUUUUUACCGUACAUUUCAACGUGAGAUAGUCACCACUGAUAAGCUACUAUAAUGUAGAACUUAAAUUUUCUGUAAAGCUGCUUUGCAAUGAUUUGCAUCUUGUAAAGAGCUUUACAAAUAAACUUGAAUUGUUAAUUAAUUGUAAAAGAGCCGACAACCUUAGCAGUCUAACAUCAGACAGGAAUUGUCCUGCACAAUGAAAAAAAGAGCUUUAGAAAUUGCUUGCAAAUUUCACAAAUAAUUACAAAAAAUUAAGUAACAUAAUGAAUUAAACAUGAACUUUCAAAAUAGAAAGAAUGAGAUUAUUCUUCCAUUCUCAGAUGAUCUUUGCUCUACUUAAAACCAGGUUCACAAUGCAAUGCAUGUCCUGCAUGUUAUGAACUGCUUCUCUAUGGCCACUGUAAAGCUUUGCUGUAAAGAUUGUGCAUUUAACAGACAUUUCAUCCAAACUGACUGCAUUCAAGGUUUAGAUGUUAUGACUUCAGCAUUCCCUGAGAAUCCAGCCCAUGACCUUGUGUUUGAGCUCGAGGAGUUUCAUGAAGCUGCUGUGAAGCACUUGCUCAAGUGUGGUUACAGUCACAUUAGUAUCACAUGUUUGACUAUCUUUCAGUGGAUUUAAUGAAUCAGAAAAAUUAUGCUUGAAGUUUUUCAAAUAUUUUAGACCUAUUAUGAGUUAUAUUAUGAAGCUUCAGGAUCCUCAUGAGCUCUGUCUGCUGCUCUUCACAUCCUAUUGAUUUCAGCAAGAGGACGUUCACACACACACACACACACACACAUUAAAAAGGAGAAAAAACUUAUUAAGAAAGAAAGUGUGUGAGUUUAGAGCAAGAGAAUUUGAUUAGUUCCCUACAGAACAUUUUCUUUGAUUUUAUAGUGUGUGUGUGUGUGUGUGUGUGUGUGUGUGUGUGUGUGUGUGAAGGUGUGGUGCUCUACAUGAGUCUAUAUUCAUUUCCAGUGGUGACUAAGUUGGGCAGCGUGACUCAAACGUGCCGUGACAUGUUCAGUCUGCACUUGUCUGUCCUCUUUAGCGUGGACAUGCGGACACAAACACGACGGCCAACACAAAGACAAACUACAAACACUGAAUGACACACAUUAUACACACAGAGAUGAACAACACACAGACUCUCUGAGCGAUGUUUGAUUAAAGUGUGUGGCACAGAAACACUGCUGCUGUUUCUGCAGAAGAGAGUGUGAUUUACAAGAAAAUACUGCAUCAAGAGAUCACAUUUAAUUCAAGUCUUUCUUUCUUUCUUUCUUUCUUUUUGCAUUGUUUGCAAAAGUUUCACAGUGAAAAUUGUUUCUAGGUCACACACUUUUUCAGUGCGUAUUUACAUUUAUUAAGUGAGUUUUUCUUGACAGGUUCUCGACGUAUUCCUGACAGAUUUUGUCAGAUUCUCUCGGACAGAUUUCAGAAAUCUUUUGAUUAAGACAAGUCUUUUCUGAAAGAUAAAAUCAAUGAUUUUCUGAACGUCUCUGCUCUUUAGCACAAUUCAUAAAGACAGCUGUUUAUCUGCUGUUAAAACAGCUUGAUCUAUUACAUAAACCACACAUUUCUGCUUAUUAUUAUUAGUUUCACAUUAAACAGCUUGAAGUGAAUUAGUCAUUUCAGCAAAUAUUACAGUUUUUCCAGAUCAAAACCCUGAAGAGACCCUGAGCUGCGUUCAUCAUAUCACUUUCUCAAUCAGACGGGCGGCACGACUGCUCUUCUGUGUCUUAAUUAGAUGUGAUUAUUCAUGUGAAGGAAUGUAAAGGCCAUCAGAAGCUCGUCCGCCCCGCAGCCAAAACAUUUCUGCGCUUGACAUCACUUCAGAUCUCGCUCUAAUCACGACGCCAUUAAAACACAGCUGGGCUGAACUCUUUAAAUUGCUCUAAACACACCAUUUGAUGCACAUUUACAUCCGACGCCACAUUUAAAACUUUUUAUUUAUAUUUAAUUUUCUUUAUUUAUAUAGCACUUUAUAAAAUACAGAUUCUGUCAAAGCAGAUUUACAGUGAUAAGAAAAUGCAUUUCUG